CUGAAGAGUCAUCACUGUGUCCUCUGACAGGUCAGUCCCACCUCCUGAGCUGAAGACAGAGCCUGUUAGCGGGAGAACUUAAUAACUCAUUCCGAAAGAGCCCUCCUGGUGCCUCCUUAAUGGCGGAGAGAAGCAGCAAGCUCCUGAUAAGCAUCAGCUCGCAGGGCCACUUGAUGGAAUUUUUAUCUUGCAAAAAAUAGCCCAUGGCUCGUGUUUGGUUUAGACCUGGACUGAUCUUGUAUGUGCUGCUGUAAUCUCUCGUGAGCAUCAGUCCUGUUGUGUCUGGAAGAUGUCUGUUUCCAUGGCGUCAUCCUCCACCUCCGGCUCUAACAACCUUCCCACUUCCUCUUCUGCUCAGACUCCUGAGCCCUGAGGGGAGGAGUUUAAGGAAGACAUUCCAUUUGGGACUGAGUGCUUGAAUCUCU